UCGACACGUUGAGAACGAGAGUUUGAGAAGCAGACUCAGGAAUGGCCAGGACUCCCGCUUCCACAGUUUCCAUUGACACUGGAAGGAAAUGGUCCAGGAAAAACUAGCUUCGAGGGUCUACUGCGGAAAGGGGGUGUCAGGCGAGGCGCCGGCGCCUUUUUCUUGAACUAGCUCAAGCCUCUCUUGAUCUUCCCAUCAAAACUCUCGGCCCCUCCCUCGCCCCCUCCCGCUCCCCUUGCGGGCCGGAGCCCCUGCUGGCCCGUUGUGGAGUGGGUCAGUCGAGAUUAGGAAGGAGCAGGGGCUGCUGGUGUCUGGGUGAGGCCGGGGGUGGGGCGUGGUGGAAAACUGUACUCACGAGCAUGGGCGAGCUCUGCCCAGUGCAGGCGUCCUCUUCCGUGGGCAGGCGUCCCCCCGGGGGUCGUCUGGGCAGUGCCAGAGCUGCCCCCAGCAGGAGCGACAGGCGGCCUGGCCGCUCUCCCUGCCCUCUUGAGAGCCCGGCCGCUGGCAGGGAGCGAGCGGGAAGCAGGAGGGAGAAGUCCGGGCGCCGCUGGGGAGCCCCAGAAGGGGGUCGCCGGAGAAGGAAGAGUGAUUGGCCCAGGGGAUACCCUGCCUCCCACUUGCACUCCUUGCCCUGAAUGAAAGGAAGCAAAAAUCCUGAUGGAGAAAAAAAAUUCUGCUGAAGAUGGGUCUCAUGACACGAGUGCUACCGACCCAGCAAAACUGGUGAAGGAUCCAAAUGAAAGAACAACUGAAGGAACUGCAACAAUAAAUGUAGGCAACACUGUGUUGGUA